CUAUAGAAGAAGUAUGAACCCAGGAGAUGCUAUACAGCUGAGGGUGAGAACUGGCUUUAACCCUAGACGGGAUAUAGUAACCAUCGAAACUACAUUAAUGCAGCUGCUACUAUCCACAAUAACUUUACAGUCGUUGUUGUUGAUCUUGAUGUAAGUGUGGAAGAGGGCAUGAAGACGCCAAUCAUCGGCAUCCUUAGGCUGGGUAAGAGUGCAACGGACGACACUGACUCUAGGCGUAUGUAGGAUAAGGGGACUAGACUGAAUACAACCUAAGAAGGUAUCGUCACUAUUCUCCAAGUCGUCAAACUCUUUCAACUUAGGUUCAUAUACCUGCUCCUCUAAUGGCUCGUCAACUAUACUCUCACGUUCUUCUAUAACUAGGGUUCGGUUAGGACACUUAGAAGAAAUGUGACCAAAACCAUUACAGUUGAAGCAUUGCAAAUGGGAGGAUGCCCUUCACACUUCAGGACGUUUACAUUUACUAUCCGAUGUGGGGGUAGUAUUAGAAGGAGAGGGCCCUAGAAUAGACUUAGGGGAUGGAGUAGAUGCAGAAGAGGUUGUAGUGCGGAUGUUACUACGAGUUCUAUACGGCAUCCUAGUCACUAGCUCGUAAUCCCGAACGAAAGAGUGGGUGUGGUCAAGAGUGGUGACGCCUCUAAGAACAAGCUCACGUCUAAGAUCAUCCCUUAGACAUUGUCUAAAUCUACUCAAGGUCAUGACCUCUUCCUCAAUGAGUUUCGAAUAGGUCGAUUGCU
rnacentral:lncRNA from 1 species